AAUUGAACACCAAAUCCUUAAAUUGUCGCAUUUUCCUCCCUAGUUUCCAUAUUUUCAUUUUUAUCCACUGUAAAAGCAGAUUAAAAUUCUGAAAAUAAAAAUAAAAAAAACAUAGCAAUCAAUUUUUAAAAAAUGUCAAUAAAAAAUAUUAUAAAAUAUAAAAAUCAAUCAAAAUUCGUACGUACCGAAAAAUGAACCCUUCUCGCCUGUCUUCUCGACAAUUGAAUAGCAGUCCUCCUGGUGAUAAUAAGAUGCUCGUUUGGAACAUAUAUAAAUCCCAGGUUUGGCUAAAUUUUUUAAAAAUAUAAAUAUGUAUUAAAGAUUAAACAAUAAAAUAUUUUUUAACAUACAAAUACGUGUGGUCCAUCACCAAUCUGUUCCACGGGAAGAAGCUGUGCUUACCAAAUUGUUCUGCCUUCGAAACCAAUUUCUUGGAUUGGACCAUGUUCUGCUUCCAAACUAAAACGAAAUUCAUAUUUAUUAAAGGUUUAACAAUUCAAAUUUUAAAAAAAACUCACAUUUCUGAAAAAUGCAACAUCAAUUAAAUUUUCCAUUUUCAA